CAGCCGCCGCGGGAAUACGAAGGGUGCAAGCGUUAAUCGGAAUUACUGGGCGUAAAGCGUGCGUAGGCGGUGAGUUAAGUCUGCUGUGAAAUCCCCGGGCUCAACCUGGGAAUGGCAGUGGAUACUGGCUCGCUAGAGUGUGACAGAGGAUGGUGGAAUUCCCGGUGUAGCGGUGAAGUGCGUAGAGAUCUGGAGGAAUACCGAUAGCGAAGGCAGCCUUCUGGCAUCAUAUUGACACUGAGGUUCGAAAGCGUGGGUAGCAAACAGGAUUAGAUACCCCUGUAGUCCCUGUCUCUUAUAC
rnacentral:rRNA from 1 species